rnacentral:rRNA from 1 species
UACGUAGGGCGCAAGCGUUAUCCGGAAUUAUUGGGCGUAAAGAGCUCGUAGGCGGUUUGUCGCGUCUGCUGUGAAACCCGAGGCUCAACCUCGGGCCUGCAGUGGGUACGGGCAGACUAGAGUGGCGGUAGGGGAGAUUGGAAUUCCUGGUGUAGCGGUGGAAUGCGCAGAUAGUCAGGAGGAACACCAAUGGCGAAGGCAGAUCUCUGGGCCGUAACUGACGCUGAGGAGCGAAAGCAUGGGGAGCGAACAGG